rnacentral:rRNA from 1 species
AUUGAACGCUGGCGGCAUGCCUUACACAUGCAAGUCGAACGGCAGCACGGGAGCAAUCCUGGUGGCGAGUGGCGAACGGGUGAGUAAUGUAUCGGAACGUGCCCAGUCGUGGGGGAUAACGCAGCGAAAGCUGUUCUAAUACCGCAUACGACCUAUGGAUGAAAGCGGGGUAUCGCAAGACCUCGCGCGGUUGGAGCGGCCGAUAUCAGAUUAGGUAGUUGGCGGGGUAAAGGCCCACCAAGCCGACGAUCUGUAGCUGGUCUGAGAGGACGACCAGCCACACUGGGACUGAGACACGGCCCAGACUCCUACGGGAGGCAGCAGUGGGGAAUUUUGGACAAUGGGCGCAAGCCUGAUCCAGCAAUGCCGCGUGCAGGAUGAAGGCCUUCGGGUUGUAAACUGCUUUUGUACGGAGCGAAACGGCUUCCACUAAUACUGGGGGCUAAUGACGGUACCGUAAGAAUAAGCACCGGCUAACUACGUGCCAGCCGCCGCCGUAA